GUGAACGCUGGCGGUAGGCCUAACACAUGCAAGUCGAACGGCAGCACAGUAAGAGCUUGCUCUUACGGGUGGCGAGUGGCGGACGGGUGAGGAAUACAUCGGAAUCUACUUUUUCGUGGGGGAUAACGUAGGGAAACUUACGCUAAUACCGCAUACGACCUACGGGUGAAAGCAGGGGAUCUUCGGACCUUGCGCGAUUGAAUGAGCCGAUGUCGGAUUAGCUAGUUGGCGGGGUAAAGGCCCACCAAGGCGACGAUCCGUAGCUGGUCUGAGAGGAUGAUCAGCCACACUGGAACUGGGACACGGUCCAGACUCCUACGGGAGGCAGCAGUGGGGAAUAUUGGACAAUGGGCGCAAGCCUGAUCCAGCCAUACCGCGUGGGUGAAGAAGGCCUGCGGGUUGUAAAGCCCUUUUGUUGGGAAAGAAAAGCAGCAGGUUAAUACCCCGCUGUUCUGACGGUACCCAAAGAAUAAGCACCGGCUAACUUCGU
rnacentral:rRNA from 1 species